AUACGGAGGAUCCGAGCGUUAUCCGGAUUUAUUGGGUUUAAAGGGUGCGCAGGCGGCCAUUUAAGUCAGCGGUUAAAUCGUGGGGUUCAACCCCAUUCUGCCGUUGAUACUGGGUGGCUUGAUUGCGGUCGAGGUUGGCGGAAUUCGUUGUGUAGCGGUGAAAUGCAUAGAUAUGACGAAGAACACCGAUUGCGUAGGCAGCUGACCAGACCGCAAAUGACGCUCAUGCACGAAAGUGCGGGGAUCGAACAGGAUUAGAUACCCUGGUAGUCCGCACAGUAAACGAUGAAUACUUGUUUUCGGCGAUAUAAUGUCGGAGGCAAAGCGAAAGCGAUAAGUAUUCCACCUGGGGAGUACGCCGGCAACGGUGAAACUCAAAUGAAUUGACGGGG
rnacentral:rRNA from 1 species